UUUGUUUCAGAGACACAAGACCAUCACACAAUUAAAUGUAUUCAAAAGUUCCUGUAGCUUGCCAGUUUUUACAGCAGCACCAGAAUGACACAAGAUCUGUAUUGGGUUCUGAGUUGGAUAGUUACUGCCUCUUCACCUCACUUGCCUUCACUAUCAACUUCCAUAACCAGUGAAAAAUAAUGAAAUAAUGGCGAUCAACCCUCUUCUGCUCUUGGCAUCUCAGCUUUUCCCAAGCCUUCACUCUCCACCUCAACUGAACAUGGAAAAUAAUCUUAAUGAGUCACAAGAAACAUAAGAUUGAAGCAACUCAUAAUAUCACAGGAGAAGCUAUUCCAUCUUAAACAUUUCUGGAAGAAUUUCUCACCUCAAUUUACCAACUCACUAAUUUUCACGUUGCCAAUAGCUCAUGAGAAUUUUAAUUAAAAAAUGAGCUUUGGAUAGCAGAUGUAAGAUUUUGAUGAAACAUCUCAGUAUCUUGGACUUGGAUAUCUCCAUUUUUACUAAAAAUUUUCAAGGACAUGUUUAAACGUGACACAAAUCCCUGGUGAACUCACAACUCUUCUAUUUAUAAUGGCAAUAAAAAUCAAGAUUAAAAAGAUAUAGCACAUAUUUAUAGCUAUACUUCGAACAUUCUCUGAAAAACAUCUUGACAUUGAAUGUUGCCGGCACAUUUUGCGUGGGAUGAACAAAGUAUGUCACAGAACUUCUGGAUUUUGUUCAGGGUCUCAGCAGUCCUGUGACUAUUGCCUGAGGAACAUAGAAGGAGUGCCAGAGAACGAAAAGAGAGAGACGGAGAGAGACAGAGAGAGAGAUGAUAGUCGGGAAACGACUGGAAGAAGUCUGCCUGAGUCACUGAAAAUGAUCACAGUGAGCAUCCGUGAGGGACUGAUCCCAAGCAAGCUGGCAGCAACCUGUUCGAACAAUUGGAAAACGUAAUGGAACAUCAAUGAGGCCACGUCCAGCAGCUUGACAGCCUCUGUCUUUGUUCUUACUGCUCUGUUUCUUGCCUGGUGCCACUUUAUCAUGAUCUGGGAUGUUCAGCCUUUUAGAUUUUUCCAAAGAACUUAUCUCUUUUCAGUUGACAAACCAAGUUGUGCAGAGUUUAGUAAGUGUAAUCUGGCAAUUCAUGAAGACUUUCCUUAAGGAAUGUGGAUUUAAAUAGUUUUGAGGCAAUGAUUUCUCAGAUCCUCAACUUUCAUGUAUACUAUUUUCUCAAGUUCAUUGCUUUAUUUUUAUUUUUUUCAGAUAAGGCCUUGCUCUGUUGCCCAGGCUGGGGUGUGGUAGUGUGACCACAGCUCACUGCAGCCUCCCACUCCUGGGCUCAAGCAAUCUUCCCACCUCAGCCUGCUGAGUAGUUGGGAUUACAGGCACACACCACCACCCUCAGCUAAGUUUUUAAAUUUUUGUAGGAACAAGGUCUCACUAUAUUGCCCAGGCUGGUCUCAAACUCCUGGGCUGGCAUAGUCCUCCCACCUCAGCUUCCCAAAGUGCUGAGAUUACAGGCAUGAGCCACUGCACCUGGCCUAUAUAGUUAAUUCUAUUUUGAAGAUUAACCUGUAACAAUAUAUAGACAUAUGCACAGUCUUUGCUGCAGCACUAAUUGUGCAGCAAAACAUAGGAAAUAACUGAUUGUCCAGCAUUAAAAAUCUGAUUAAAUAAACCAUGGAACUCUAUAGAAAACCAAGUAGUGUGCUUUGAAGUUCUAAACAUCACUGUGAAAUACUUCUAGAAUGAUGACCAGAAGAUAAGUUAAAACAUGCACAAUGGACAAAAUGGCAUCUAAUAUGCUACCAUUCCUACAUAUGGAGAAAGGAGGAAACUAGAUAAAGGGCACAAAAUAUGAUUUAUGUUUCAGAAUUUAUUUGUUUUUAGAUUUGUUUUAAGAACCAUAAUAAUAUUUUAUAAAAUUAUAACACAACAUUAAUUUAUUUUGCAAAAGCAAUCCCUGCAAAUUAAAAGCAAAUGCAACUAAGGAACCAACUAUAUAUGAAGCUAGUGGCAUAAUCAUACAGAAAUGAACUAUUUCAGAUCACUUAAGUAAACCAGUAAAAUGACAUGAUAUCCACAGAGAUGUAUACACUGAGAAGCAAAAUACUCAAAAUGCAAAUUAAAAAAUUAAUCUCAGUGCAGGUUAGCAAUCGUAUUGUCACUGCAGCCUCCCGCUCCUUGAUAUUUUGAAGCCAGCUAGACAAACUUCACCAAGAAUACACCUAAAUUCAAACAAAACAAGGCUUAUUAAAUUGUAUCAGUAUCCUGGCAAGAAUGUGAAGAAAAGGGAAACUUUGUACACUGUUGGUGAGAAUGUAAAUUAGUAAAACCACUGCAGAGAAUAGUACGGAGGUUCCUCAAAACACUAAAAAUAGAGCUACCCACUGUUAGCUAUAUACCCAAAAGAAAGCAAAUUGAUAUAUCGAAGAGUUAUCUGUCCUCCCAUGCUUGUUGCAAUACUGUUCACAGUAGCCAGGAUUUGGAAGCAACGUAAGUGUCCAUCAACAGAUGAACAGAUGAAGACAAUGUGCUACACACAAACAAUGGCGUACUAUUGAGCCAUAAAAAAGGAUGAGAUCCUGUCAUUUCCAACAACAUAGACGGAACUGGAGAUCAUUAAGUGAAAUAAGCCGGGCACAGAAAGACAAACAUUGCGUUCUCUCACUUAUAUGUGGGAUCUAAAAAUCAAGACAAUUGAAGGCAUGGACAUAGAGUGUAGAAGGAUGGUUAUCAGAGGCUGGGAAGGGCAGUGGGACAGGGGAUGUUUGCGGUGGAAAUGAGGGUGAUUAAUGGAUACAAAAUGUAACUAGAAAGAAUAAAUAGGACCUUUUAUUUGAUAACCCAACAGGUGACUCUAGCAAUAAUAAUUUCAUUGUAUAUUUUUCAAUGGCUAAACGAGUAUAAUUGGAUUGAUGUAACACAAAGGAUUAAUGCUUGAGGGGAUGAUAACCCAUUCUCUAUGAUGUGAUUAUUAUUCUGCGUUGCAUACCUGCAUGAAAACAUCUUAUGUACCCCAUAAAUAUAUAUCUACUAUGUACUUACAAAACUUAAAAGCAACCAACUAAAUAAAUAAAUGAAUUUCUAUAGCAAAGAAGUAGAGGACCUAUGGAGCAUCUGAGUAAGGGAGGUGGGAAGUGUUUAUUAUGCGAUUGGGGCUUUUAUUAAAAAUUUUGGGAUGGAGUCCAAGAAAAUAAAUCAGUUGCUGUCACCCUGGGACAAUUCAGUGAUUGAUUGUCUUAAUAUAUUUUAUUAAAAGACUAGAGAAAUAUAGGUGAGCUAAGCUUAUCAUUGUUACUAAAACUAUAGUAACUCAUAUGAGCUGAAAGAGGAAAAGAUUAGGUUGUCAAAUUGAUUGUAUAGGGAUCAGUUUAGAUGUG